rnacentral:lncRNA from 1 species
AAUGCCAAGUGGAAACUGAGCAUAAUAAGAGAGGGAACAAAGAGGGUACAACAAAAUCUUGGAUUUACCUUUGUGCUGUCUGACCAGCCUGUUCUGAGCUGCAGUGGAAAGGAUUCUGUAUUGCUCUUGCUACAUGCCAAGACUAAACUUUUUACCUCCUGGUGGAAAAAAAAAAACAAAAAACAAAAAACACACAAAUGAACACACACAAAAAAAAAUGAGUUGUGACUAAAAGGAGAGACUGAGACAAAGUGUCAUCCCAGUGCUAGUCCUACUCUGAGGAAUUUUACACCCCACCCAUUACCCCUCUAGCCCAGCUGUGCCUGGUCUGUGUCUGGUUCAGAAAUUUUGGCCACACAAGUGAGCAGCCUGAGGUCAAGGAGAGGAGACAAGUGCUCCACAUCUGCAUCGCAUGAAAACAUUUGGGCACCAGAUCUUCACUGCUGGAGACUUAGGAACAGGUUAAAUAACCAUCUGCCAGAUUGGCAGCACCAUGGGAAACCCAACACUUGGAUGAACAGCAGUGCAUAUGGUGAAUAUGGGGGAAGAAUUCUGAAGCUGUAAUUCAGGUAAGUGAGAGCUGAGAGGGUGGUUGUUUUUUUUUUUUUUUUUUCUUUUUUUUCCUCUCUUUUCCCCCCCCCCCCCCCCCUUUUUUUCUUUUUCUUUUUUUUUUUUUUUUUUCAGCCAAUGGUUUUAUAGUACAUAUCAUCAAGUGCAUAUUAAGCAGAGUUUCUGGACUAAUGCUUUCCAGCCUUGACUCUCAGACUUGGUAACUGUUCCAAAUAGUACUUUAAAAUGUCUUAGCUGUAUAAAUACAAGACCUCAAUGUUACCCUUGUUGACAAAACCAAAAACAAGUUAUAUUAAAAAAAAAAAAAAGUUAAUAUAUAUUUUUAAGUAAUUCUGAAUAUGUACUGGCCAAGGGAAAAAUUAUGUCUAUCGCAUAAAAAGGACUUGAUAUUCUUAAUGGUAUUUUUAAAUUGACUUCCAAUUUGGUAUUAGUCAUGGGUGCAAAAAAAGGCCUCAGGUAAUGACCAUAUAUGUUCAGGUCUAAGGGGUGGAUGUACAGAAGAAAAUCAAGUUAAUCAAGGCAGCAACUUGUUCUGGGCUUGCUGACUUGGGUUAGGGCUCCCUUAAUGUGUCAGAUGAGCUGACCUUAUACAAAGCACUGGGAAAGUUAGGUGUUGCAGGCAGAACAAAGGAGCUGUUUUAUCAUAUAAAGCAAUUGAAAUAAGAUUCAUUCCAUGGUCUGU